rnacentral:rRNA from 1 species
UACGAAGGGGGCUAGCGUUGUUCGGAAUUACUGGGCGUAAAGCGCGCGUAGGCGGUCAUGUAAGUCAGGGGUGAAAUCCCAGAGCUUAACUCUGGAAUGGCCUUUGAGACUGCGUGGCUAGAGAACGGGAGAGGUGAGUGGAAUUCCCAGUGUAGAGGUGAAAUUCGUAGAUAUUCGGAAGAACACCAGUGGCGAAGGCGGCUCACUGGCCCGGUACUGACGCUGAGGUGCGAAAGCGUGGGGAGCAAACAGG